rnacentral:lncRNA from 1 species
CUUGUUUAUCGACUUCAUUGUGUACUACUUUUGAAUCCUCAGGAACUUUUACGUCAGCUUCAGAUUCUUUAGUAGGAAUAAUUGCUGACAGUUCUUUUGGUUUAUCAACAGCUUCAGCCGACAAUUCCUGAACAUCAACGACCAUAGGUUGCUCCUGAACAUCGACUAUCUUAGGUUGCUCCUGUGCUUCUGCAUGCUCAGUUACAGAGGCCGCAUCUGGUUGACUGUUAACAGCAUCAACUGCUGGCUCUGGAACACAUUCUGUAGCUGGUUCCCCAACUGGUUGAUUGUUAACAACAUCAACUGCUGGCUCUGCAUCUUUG